GUGGCCAGAGAGGCUGCAGUGCCCCCGAAGGUGGCUGACGAAGCUGCAGCGCCCCCAGAGGCACCUGAUGAAACUACAGCGCUCCCGGAGGUGGCCUAAGAGGCUGCAGCACCCCUGAAGGUGGCUGACGAAGCUGCAGCGCCCCCAGAGGCAGCUGAUGAAGCUGUAGCGCUCCCGGUGGUGGCCGAAGAGGUUGCAGCGCCCCCAGAGGCGGCUGAAGAAGCUGCAGCGCUCCCGGUGGUGGCCGAAGGGGUUGCAGCGCCCCCAGAGGUGGUAGACGUAGCUGCAGUGCCACACUCUCGGAAACGGAGGAGGGGAAGGAGGAAGAAGGCUUCUUCCGUCCUUCAAGGCCGGAAGGCCUCCCUAGAGCCUGGUGCCCUGCCGGCGCCGCCCAAGCUCAAGCUUCACGCCCUGCCGGCUCCGCCCAAGCUCAAGCUUCACGCCCUGCCGGCUCCA